rnacentral:rRNA from 1 species
GUCUCUUUGCAUAAUCAUUAAUGUAUAAGGAGUCGAACCUGCCCGGUGACUAAAUGUUAAACGGCCGCGGUACCCUAACCGUGCAAAGGUAGCAUAAUCAUUUGCCUUUUAAUUGGAGGCUAGUAUGAAUGGUUUGACGAGAGCUAAGCUGUCUCCGUAUAAAUUAUUUAAAAAUUAACUUUUAGGUGAAGAGGCCUAAAUUUAUUUGAGGGACAAGAAGACCCUGUUGAGCUUUAGUUAACUUUCUAAUAAUAGAUUUAGUUUGCAUUAAGUGUAAAAUCAGUUAGUAAGUAAUCUUUAGUUGGGGCGACUGAGGAACAUAGGAAGCUUCCUUUAAUGAUGAUUAAAUGACUAAUGAUUUGUUGGGCUAUAUUAUGCUGGCAUGUUAUUUUGAUCCAGAGUUAUCUGAUUAAAGGAAAAAGUUACCACAGGGAUAACAGCGUAAUCUUUCUGGAGAGACCUAAUCGAAAGAAGGGUUUGCGACCUCGAUGUUGGACUAAGGUAUCCUAAGGGUGCAGAAGCUCUUAAAGGUUGGUCUGUUCGACCAUUAAAACCUU